UUCGCAAUGCCCGAAAGGGUGACGAAGCGACGCCGCGUGCGGGAAGAAGGCCUUCGGGUUGUAAACCGCUGUCGGGAGUUAAGAAAUGCAAGGAUGUUAAUAGCAUCUUUGUUUGACUAAGGCUCCGGAGGAAGCCACGGCUAACUCUGUGCCAGCAGCCGCGGUAAUACAGAGGCGGCAAGCGUUGUUCGGAAUUAUUGGGCGUAAAGAGCACGUAGGCGGCUGUGUAAGUCGGUUGUGAAAGCCUCCUGCUUAACGGGAGAAGUGCAGUUGAAACUACGGGGCUAGAGUGCGGAAGGGGAGAGUGGAACUUCUGGUGGAGCGGUGAAAUGCGUAGAUAUCAGAAGGAACACCGGCGGCGAAAGCGGCUCUCUGGUCCGUAACUGACGCUGAGGUGCGAAAGCCAGGGGAGCAAACGGGAUUAGAUACCCCGGUAGUCCUAGCCGUAAACGAUGGGCACUAAGUAGAGGGGUUUUA
rnacentral:rRNA from 1 species